CUUGUUGCUAGGAUACACGGCUUUCACCCAGGAGGCCCUCGUUAGAUUCCCGCAUCGGAAUUUCGGGUCCCAUGGUGUAAUGGUCAGCACUCGGAACUCUCAAUCCAGCAAUCCGACUUCGACUCUCGGUGGGCCCUCUUUCCUUUUAUAGAGUUUGCUGUUUCAUUGCUUCGCUGCUUUCCUUCCGCGCACUACUCUUAUUUAUUUAUUUAUUUAUUUUAGUUUUUUUCCAUCGAUCCUUGAAAUAUCCCCGGUGCGGUCUUGUUGCUACGAUACACGGCUUUCACCCAGGAGGCCCUCGUUAGAUUCCCGCAUCGGAAUUUCGGGUCCCAUGGUGUAAUGGUCAGCACUCGGAACUCUCAAUCCAGCAAUCCGACUUCGACUCUCGGUGGGCCCUCUUUCCUUUUAUAGAGUUUGCUGUUUCAUUGCUUCGCUGCUUUCCUUCCGCGCACUACUCUUAUUUAUUUAUUUUUUUUAGCUUUUUUCCAUCGAUCCUUGAAAUAUCCCCGGUGCGGUCUUGUUGCUACGAUACACGGCUUUCACCCAGGAGGCCCUCGUUAGAUUCCCGCAUCGGAAUUUCGGGUCCCAUGGUGUAAUGGUCAGCACUCGGAACUCUCAAUCCAGCAAUCCGACUUCGACUCUCGGUGGGCCCUCUUUCCUUUUAUAGAGUUUGCUGUUUCAUUGCUUCGCUGCUUUCCUUCCGCGCACUACUCUUAUUUAUUUAUUUUUUUAGCUUUUUUCCAUCGAUCCUUGAAAUAUCCCCGGUGCGGUCUUGUUGCUACGAUACACGGCUUUCACCCAGGAGGCCCUCGUUAGAUUCCCGCAUCGGAAUUUCGGGUCCCAUGGUGUAAUGGUCAGCACUCGGAACUCUCAAUCCAGCAAUCCGACUUCGACUCUCGGUGGGCCCUCUUUCCUUUUAUAGAGUUUGCUGUUUCAUUGCUUCGCUGCUUUCCUUCCGCGCACUACUCUUAUUUAUUUAUUUAUUUAUUUUAGUUUUUUUCCAUCGAUCCUUGAAAUAUCCCCGGUGCGGUCUUGUUGCUACGAUACACGGCUUUCACCCAGGAGGCCCUCGUUGGAUUCCCUCAUCAGAAUUUCGGGUCCCAUGGUGUAAUGGUCAGCACUCGGAACUCUCAAUCCAGCAAUCCGACUUCGACUCUCGGUGGGCCCUCUUUCCUUUUAUACAGUUUUCUGUUUCAUUGCUUCUCUGCUUUCCUUCCGCGCACUACUCUUAUUUAUUUAUUUUUUCAGCUUUUUUCCAUCGAUCACUUCCCUCGAAAUAUCCCCGGUGCGGUCUUGUUGCUAGGAUACACGGCUUUCACCCAGGAGGCCCUCGUUAGAUUCCCGCAUCGGAAUUUUGGGUCCCAUGGUGUAAUGGUCAGCACUCUAAACUCUGAAUCGAGCAAUCGGACUUCGACUCUCGGUGGGCCCUCUUUCCUUUUAUACAGUUUUCUGUUUCAUUGCUUCUCUGCUUUCCUUCCGCGCACUACUCUUAUUUAUUUAUUUUCUCAGCUUUUUUCCAUCGAUCACUUCUCUCGAAAUAUCUCCGGUGCGGUCUUGUGGCUAGGAUACAUGGCUUUCACCCAGGAGGCGCUCGUUGGAUUCCCGCAUCGGAAUUUGGCGUCCCAUGGUGUAAUGGUCAGCACUCUGAACUCUGAAUCCAGCAAUCCGACUUCGACUCUCGCUUUUUUCCAUCGAUCACUUCCCUCGAAAUAUCCCCGGUGCGGUCUUGUGGCUAGGAUACAUGGCUUUCACCCAGGAGGCGCUCGUUGGAUUCCCGCAUCGGAAUUUCGGGUCCCAUGGUGUAAUGGUCAGCACUCGGAACUCUCAAUCCAGCAAUCCGACUUCGACUCUCGGUGGGCCCUCUUUCCUUUUAUAGAGUUUGCUGUUUCAUUGCUUCGCUGCUUUCCUUCCGCGCACUACUCUUAUUUAUUUAUUUUUUCAGCUUUUUUCCAUCGAUCACUUCCCUCGAAAUAUCCCUGGUGCGGUCUUGUUGCUAGGAUACACGGCUUUCACCCAGGAGGCCCUCGUUAGAUUCCCGCAUCGGAAUUUCGGGUCCCAUGGUGUAAUGAUCAGCUCUCUGAACUCUGAAUCCAGCAAUCCGACUUCGACUCUGGCUUUUUACCAUCGAUCACUUCCCUCGAAAUAUCCCUGGUGCGGUCUUGUUGCUAGGAUACACGGCUUUCACCCAGGAGGCCCUCGUUAGAUUCCCGCAUCGGAAUUUCGGGUCCCAUGGUGUAAUGGUCAGCACUCUGAACUCUGAAUCCAGCAAUCCGACUUCGACUCUGGCUUUUUUCCAUCGAUCACUUCCCUCGAAAUAUCCCCGGUGCGGUCUUGUUGCUAGGAUACACGGCUUUCACCCAGGAGGCCCUCGUUAGAUUCCCGCAUCGGAAUUUCGGGUCCCAUGGUGUAAUGGUCAGCACUCUGAACUCUGAAUCCAGCAAUCCGACUUCGACUCACGCUUUUUUCCAUCGAUCACUUCCCUCGAAAUAUCCCCGGUGCGGUCUUGUGGCUAGGAUACAUGGCUUUCACCCAGGAGGCGCUCGUUGGAUUCCCUCAUAGGAAUUUCGGGUCCCAUGGUGUAAUGGUCAGCACUCGGAACUCUCAAUCCAGCAAUCCGACUUCGACUCUCGGUGGGCCCUCUUUCCUUUUAUACAGUUUUCUGUUUCAUUGCUUCUCUGCUUUCCUUCCGCGCACUACUCUUAUUUAUUUAUUUUUUCAGCUUUUUUCCAUCGAUCACUUCCCUCGAAAUAUCCCCGGUGCGGUCUUGUUGCUAGGAUACAAGGCUUUCACCCAGGAGGCCCCCGUUAGAUUCCCGCAUCGGAAUUUCAGGUCCCAUGGUGUAAUGGUCAGCACUCGGAACUCUCAAUCCAGCAAUCCGACUUCGACUCACGCUUUUUUCCAUCGAUCACUUUCCUCGAAAUAUCUCCGGUGCGGUCUUGUGGCUAGGAUACAUGGCUUUCACCCAGGAGGCGCUCGUUGGAUUCCCGCAUCGGAAUUUCGGGUCCCAUGGUGUAAUGGUCAGCACUCGGAACUUUCAAUCAGGCAAUCCGACUUCGACUCUCGCUUUUUUCCAUCGAUCACUUCCCUCGAAAUAUCCCCGGUGCGGUCUUGUGGCUAGGAUACAUGGCUUUCACCCAGGAGGCCCUCGUUAGAUUCCCGCAUCGGAAUUUCGGGUCCCAUGGUGUAAUGGUCAGCACUCUGAACUCUGAAUCCAGCAAUCCGACUUCGACUCUGGCUUUUUUCCAUCGAUCACUUCCCUCGAAAUAUCCCCGGUGCGGUCUUGUUGCUAGGAUACACGGCUUUCACCCAGGAGGCCCUCGUUAGAUUCCCGCAUCGGAAUUUCGGGUCCCAUGGUGUAAUGGUCAGCUCUCGGAACUGUCAAUCCAGCAAUCCGACUUCGACUCUCGGUGGGCCCUCUUUCCUUUGAUACAGUUUUCUGUUUCAUUGCUUCAGUGCUUUCCUUCCGCGCACUACUCUUAUUUAUUUAUUUUUUCAGCUUUUUUCCAUCGAUCACUUCCCUCGAAAUAUCCCCGGUGCGGUCUUGUUGCUAGGAUACAUGGCUUUCACCCAGGAGGCCCUCGUUAGAUUCCCGCAUCGGAAUUUCGGGUCCCAUCGUGUAAUGGUCAGCACUCUAAACUCUGAAUCCAGCAAUCGGACUUCGACUCUCGCUUUUUUCCAUCGAUCACUUCCCUCGAAAUAUCUCCGGUGCGGUCUUGUGGCUAGGAUACAUGAUUUUCACCCAGGAGGCGCUCGUUAGAUUCCCGCAUCGGAAUUUCAGGUCCCAUGGUGUAAUGGUCAGCACUCUGAAGUCUGAAUCCAGCAAUCCGACUUCGACUCUCGCUUUUUUCCAUCGAUCACUUCCCUCGAAAUAUCUCCGGUGCGGUCUUGUGGCUAGGAUACAUGAUUUUCACCCAGGAGGCGCUCGUUAGAUUCCCGCAUCGGAAUUUCAGGUCCCAUGGUGUAAUGGUCAGCACUCUGAAGUCUGAAUCCAGCAAUCCGACUUCGACUCUCGCUUUUUUUCAUCGACCACUUCCCUCGAAAUAUCUCCGGUGCGGUCUUGUGGCUAGGAUACAUGGCUUUCUCCCAGGAGGCGCUCGUUGGAUUCCCGCAUCGGAAUUUCGGGUCCCAUGGUGUAAUGGUCAGCACUCUAAACUCUGAAUCCAGCAAUCGGACUUCGACUCUCGCUUUUUUUCAUCGACCACUUCCCUCGAAAUAUCUCCGGUGCGGUCUUGUGGCUAGGAUACAUUGCUUUCUCCCAGGAGGCGCUCGUUGGAUUCCCGCAUCGGAAUUUCGGGUCCCAUCGUGUAAUGGUCAGCGCUCUGAACUCUGCAUCCAGCAGUCCGACUUCGACUCUCGGUGAGACCUCUUGACGUCUUCUGAACGUGGACGUGGCUCCGACUGCUCGCUGCUGCUUCCUGGAUUGUGGGCCAGACUGGGUCAGGCAUCCCGGUGACUCCUUCCUUGUGGACAGGCAGCCGACGUAGAAGCCGGGGCAGUAGGGUUCGCACUCGGUGUGCUAUCUGCCGGACUCCCUCGAAGUUAGGGUGCAGGCCGUCGGCUGCUAGGACUCUCGUCGGGGGUUGUCGAUGAAAGCCGUGGUCCAGAAAGUAGAGGUCCGGCGAUCGCUUGCACAGGUCUCGCAGUCGCAUGUUGAAGCCGUACGCCCGCGGGUUACAUUGGAACUCACGGCGCCUGUCGGGAUAAGAUCGACGGCGGUUGAAGGAGCGGGGUAGAAUAAGAGUACAUACCACUAGAUCGAUGUUUCCGCGGGAACGGAUGUGGUCCAGAAGAUGCACGUAGUGCUGGAUGGCCGAGUCGGGGUCGCUGUACGGCAUGUCGUUUGUCCCACAGUGCAGGACGACGACGCGCACGCGGGGGGGUAGCUGGUCAACCUCCUCCAAGAAGUCCGAAAUGCGGCCUCCGCUCCUGGUCACGGACAUCGUUGGGGCAGUUCGGGAUCUGGGGUCAAAAUGGAAACGUAAGUGUUUAGUUCGCGAGUCACCAAGAAUUACAACAACGGGGGCAUAAAAAGGGUACUUCCUGAUGGGCAUCUUGGGUCCGCUUCUGUCAGUGGUCAUCGUAGAGGUACAAGUUGAAAUAAACGAAUGCGGUUGACCACGAAAAAUAAAGGUAUUCAAUAAAGAUCAGAAGUGGAGACGGUGCUUCUACAGGACAAGGAAUAAAAGGGGAACUUUGUUAAAAACUAAGAGGGAGUAUUCGACGUUUCGACAGCAGCGCUGUCUUCAACAGGAAUGGGAUAUUAUGGUGACGCAAGACAAUUGCAAAGAAUGAGAGGGGAAUAUGUACAAGGGGAGAGGGCAGCACACGUGCUUUGUCAAACAAAGGUAAAGGGUACAAUGAAUCACAGGCAGUCAUGUUCUUCGCCGGAGGGCAAUGAUUUCAUGGGGUGACCAACCGGGGAGUCUGAAAGAGAUACAAAAGAGUGUAUGUAUUUUGAGAGAAUUAGGAUUUAGGUUGCGAACUGUUGAGAGGACGCCGGGGUCCUCGUUAAUCUGGCUUUUAAAUUUGUAGAUCAGGAACGAUUCUCUUCGGUCUCUAAGGCGUUGGGAUGGAAAACCCGAUUGCAGAACGAAAAUGGCUAUGUCGUUAAUUGAGUGGCCGGGUUUACUAAAAUGACGACACACUGGCAGAUUAGGUUUCUGUGAUACGUUGGACCUGUGGUUGUUGAAUCGGAUUCUGAAGGAUGUAGCUGUUUGACCGAUAUAUUGGGCCUUGCACUCAUUACAUUGAAGUAGAUAAAGGACGUUAUAAGAGUUACAGUUAAAUAGACCAUUAAUUUUUCUGC